rnacentral:miRNA from 10 species
UGAGUUGGUUAUUCAAUCUUGC